GUGCCUGGAAUUCGAACCCAGACCGUCCUCACGCGUUCUCUGUCCAGCAUCCAGGCCCCGCACCCGCUCCAGUCGGCUCCAUUCCCCUUGUCCAGUGGUCCAGCCAUCCAAGGACCCUGACUCCGCUCAGCCGACCCUAUUAAUAAAGAGGUUUUAUUGCCUGCAGGUGCUUCACGAUAUUGCGUGGGCUUCUAAUAAACGUCCAGUAAACCGCAGGUAGCGCCUCGGAGAGAGAUGGGCCCGUGCACCUGUCCACAAAGGGCCUCCACAUGCUGCAGCUCCGCCUUCCGUGGCCCAGCCCUGGCACGGUCGGCUCCGGAGACGAUCCUGCCCCUCGGGACGCCUGCAGGCAACUACUGUUUCACUUCCCUGAAGAAGCUCAUAAUAUUAUAAUUCAAGUGUCAGGACAGAUUAGGUUAAACGAACUGUGUAAUUCCCGAAGGAAAACAAACUUCAAAACGGACGCGGUUUGCCACGUAACAUGUCAUGGAUUGCAUUAGCGUCGCACGGGCAAUUCCAUCACCUAAUGUGCUAAAGUUGGCUCAAAUGUUCCCCACUCUGCAAGAAGCAGAUGAGUUCAUUACGAUUUCACCCUAAUAAAGAAAACCUGCUUGAUUUUGACAAGACAUCGACUUAUCUAAUCGUCUCCUAAAUAACAAAGCUGCUUCCCGCCCGUAAAACACUGCUCCCGAACACCGGCUUUACCUGGACUGCUUCUAAAUUAAUGAAAAACACUCGAAUCCAAAGAGAGCAAAAGAAGAAGGGGGGGGGGCGGUGGAGAGAUGGAAUUCAAGGGAUUUUUGAAAAUGUGACUGAUUUUGAAAAGAACGAGUUUUGAAAUGUUUACUUUGUGGUGGUUUGAAAUUUUUACAUCUUUCAACAAAGCGCGCGGGGAAGUGAAACCAUCUGAAAGGGCUUUUGAAAAGAGCGAUUCAGCACCAGCCGGACGAGGCUGCGGUUCCUUUAUCUCGGGCAAUCUGUGCCCAUCGUGCAGGAGGCAGGCCCAGCCCUUUCCCCCCUCCGCUCCGCCUGAGCUCUGAGGCUGCCUGGGCCUGGGCUUCAAAGCGCUCUUGGCCGAGCGUCCUGGGAGGGAAUCAGACACCGCACUCCGGGGACGCGCUGCCGGCUCGCUCUUAUCCUCGAGCACAACCGCCUGAUGCGGUCAUCUUGUUAGUCAUGGAAAGCCCGGGGUCUUUCUGUGUAUACCGCUUUCAGCACUUAUUAAGCAAAAAGUGGGAGGCUUUACGCAAAACUGCAAAAGAUGUUUUUUCUCCCCAGGGCCACAGCAGUUGGGGCCACGGCUUAUCCAUCAUUGCAAAGAUCUCUCCGAGAGAAAUGAAACAAGUCAGCUCUGCCCAGAGGGGGAGAAAGCUGAACGGCGCAUGGGGCCGCCCGUCCCAGGACCUUCUUGGCUUGGCUCCCGUGGAAGGGCGUGGGCUCCUUCGUCUGAAAACUGCCAAGGGAAUGCAGCCACACGGCUUAAGAGAAAUGGCGCAUCCCUGUGGUUUGGUGUCCAAGUGGACCAUUCAGGACGCUCAACUCAGAGUCCUUCCCAAACUUUGUCCAGCUCCAAGACCAACAGGGGGCUUCCACCGCAGAGGUCCAGACACCUGCACAGAUGUGUCCCUGCUGGGGGGAGGGGGUGGUGGUGAAGGUGGAAACACCAUUUCUAAGCAGCUCCUUAGAAGUGAACAAAUUCUGGUACCUCCGCAUUGUCUCGGGAACCUGCCUCUUUCCUGCCGUCUGUGCUCCCAUCCUCCCAGUGGGGGGGCUGUGGAUUCUCCAACAGGCCCAGGUAGAAUUCUGAGGUCAUCGGAGUCCCUCCUUCAAGCCUCAGUUCUAUCAGUAUCAAACUUCUGGGGAGACUUCAGGGGAAGCAGCAAGUUUGAGCCAAGAACGCAGAAUUGGAAUUCUCUGAUAAAUCCCUCCCAGCUGAGCCGGGAGGGUCUGUAGUUGGCUCAGCAAGCAGGGACGGCAGGAAGGGGCUGGUGCUGGGAAACUUCAAACAGACCUGGGGUGGCGGGGAGGCUGUGCUGAGGGGAGGAGGCCACCGACAGAGGGCUCAGUUAAUUAAAGAGAUGCGUGGGCACACCUAUAGGCUCAGCCCUCUAGGUGUUAAAGCGCCAGCAACUCAAGUUCUGUGCAGGGACUCCCUCCCCCUAGGGGGAGGCCUGGAAGCGGGGGAAGCCUCGAGCCACAUUUAGGAUGGACAUUUGCGGUCUUCUGGAAAGCCCCAGCCAGGGGUCCUUGGCCCUUCCACCAAGAGUUCCAAGGGAACCGAGACUGUUUAAAAGCCUCCUUAAGCAUCAAGGGGUCUCCUGUGUUGCAGGCACUGGGCUGGGCACAUCACCUGGGAGAGGUAGGGGUCAUCAUAUCUCCCAUUUUACAGAUGAGGGAAGUAAGGCUCAGAAGUCACCAGCUCAAGUGCCUAUGGCUGGUGUGUGGGAGAGGCCCGGCUGGAGCUAGGAUUCUCUGACUUAUGCCACUGGCUGGAGCUGGGGACAGGACAGAGACCAGCAAAGGACAGGUGACGGCUGCUUCCAUCUGGCCCUCACCUUGGCCUGCCCCUCACACUGUCCUUGACAUUCAAUCAGGUGCCAGUGAUGUCGGCCCAGAGGUUGGGGCUGGGCCUCCCCAGCUUCCCAGCGACAAAUGGUUCUCAUUUGAAAGGGAGGUUAUAAAAACACAUGCCCAGAGACACUGUCAGGGAACUGAGGAUUAAUCUCAUUUCAGUCAAAGACCAUUUCAAAUAUUUUGGGGGUGGAAUGGGGCGGGCAGCAGCCUGGGUUGGGAAGGAA
rnacentral:lncRNA from 1 species